UUCCGAACUUCGCAACGAAGUUCGGAACAUUUGUGGUCAAAGUUUCGUGAAAUCGACUGUUAUGACCAUUUACAUUGAAGAGAAUUUAAGGUUUUUAGAGUUUUUUGAGCAGAAAGCGGUAUUGCGAUUCUGGCAAAUAUUUUGAGUUAUUAUCAGAGUUUUCAAUGCAUGCAGCAUGCCAAGAUUCUAAUGUCGACAUCAAAGAAUUGAAUCAUAAAUAUCAAAUUGGGGUCGUGGUCGACAAAGUGUUUUAACGCGACCACAAAAGGCUUCUUUGAAAACAUUUAUUGUUAUGCAUGCAGCGUGCCAAGAUUCUAAUGU